rnacentral:rRNA from 1 species
UACGAAGGGGGCUAGCGUUGCUCGGAAUCACUGGGCGUAAAGCGCCCGUUGGCGGAUCUUUAAGUCAGGGGUGAAAUCCCGAGGCUCAACCUCGGAACUGCCUUUGAUACUGGGGAUCUCGAGUCCGGGAGAGGUGAGUGGAACUGCGAGUGUAGAGGUGAAAUUCGUAGAUAUUCGCAAGAACACCAGUGGCGAAGGCGGCUCACUGGCCCGGAACUGACGCUGAGGUGCGAAAGCGUGGGGAGCAAACAGG